rfam:Lactococcus garvieae Lg2 DNA, complete genome.
AUUGAUAUAAUAUACAAGUUGCAAUUUAUCAGCAAUCCUCAGGACUUUUAACCUUUGCCUGAGCAUAUUACAGGCGGUAUUCAGCCGCUAAAGGAGAAAAAAAUUG